rnacentral:ncRNA from 1 species
UACUUAAUAUACACAUGCAAGUCUCCGCACCCCUGUGAAAACGCCCUUAAAUCCCCACUAGGGAUAAGGAGCUGGUAUCAGGCACAAUACUUAGCCCAAGACACCUAGCUAUGCCACACCCACACGGGAAUUCAGCAGUGAUUAACAUUGAAAAUAAGCGACAGCUUGACUCAGUUAAAGUAAAAAGAGCCGGGAAAUCUGGUGCCAGCCGCCGCGGUUACACCAUGUGGCCCAAAUUGACCCCCUUCGGCGUAAAGCGUGAUUAAAGUUUUUACUAAAUUAUAGCUGAACUAAAACUAAGCUGUGACACGCUUGUAUUUAGGAAAAUCAAAAACGAAAGUUACUGUAAUUAAAACAACUUGAACCCACGACAGUUGAGACACAAACUGGGAUUAGAUACCCCACUAUGCUUAACCGUAAACUUUAAAUUACACCGAUAUCGCCUGGGAACUACGAGCAAAGCUUAAAACCCAAAGGACUUGACGGUACCCCACAUCCCCCUAGAGGAGCCUGUCCUGUAAUCGACAACCCCCGUUCAACCUCACCAUUUUUAGCCUAUCAGCCUGUAUACCUCCGUCGUCAGCUUACCACGUGAGCGACCCUAAGUGAGCCUAAUGCCCACACGCCAACACGUCAGGUCAAGGUGCAGCAAAUAAAAUGGGAAGAGAUGGGCUACACUCUCUACUGUAGAAGAUACGAAAGACUAUUUAUGAAACCUAGUCGAAAGGCGGAUUUAGUAGUAAAAAGAGACAAGAGCGCUCUUUUUAACACGGCACUGGGGUGUGUACACACCGCCCGUCACCCUCUUCGAAGCUAACAGAAAGUCCAUAACACACCUAAGCACGAUAGAAGAGGCAAGUCGUAACAUGGUAAGUAUACCGGAAGGUGUGCUUGGAAACAAAAUAUAGCUUAACCAAAGCAUCUCGCUUACACCGAGAAAAUAUCUGUUAAACCCGGAUUAUUUUGAGCUAAUAAUCUAGCCCCCCAAUAUCAAAUGAAACCAUUAACUUUAUAACAUAAACUAAAACAUUUUAUAAAUUUAGUAAAGGCGAUUAAAAAAUUGAUAGGAGCUAUAAAAAAGUACCGCAAGGGAAA